CAAAUCAAUUGUCCAUACUGCAGACAAGGAUGGGCAAUAAUAAUUGACUGAAGCAAUCACUGCUGUGGGAAAACAAACGUGCUGGCCAUGUCGCCUCUGAAGAAAUCUCACAGCUGUAGAAAUG